rnacentral:rRNA from 1 species
UACAGAGGUGGCAAGCGUUGUUCGGAAUUACUGGGCGUAAAGGGCGCGUAGGCGGCCUUCUAAGUCGGACGUGAAAGCCCCAGGCUUAACCUGGGAACUGCGUCCGAUACUGGGAGGCUUGGAUUCGGGAGAGGGAUGUGGAAUUCCAGGUGUAGCGGUGAAAUGCGUAGAUAUCUGGAGGAACACCGGUGGCGAAGGCGGCAUCCUGGACCGAGAUCGACGCUGAGGCGCGAAAGCGUGGGUAGCAAACAGG